GAUGAACGCUGGCGGCGUGCUUAACACAUGCAAGUCGAACGGUAAGGCCCUUCGGGGUACACGAGUGGCGAACGGGUGAGUAACACGUGGGUGAUCUGCCCUGCACUUCGGGAUAAGCCUGGGAAACUGGGUCUAAUACCGGAUAGGACCACUGCCUGCAUGGGUGGUGGUGGAAAGCUUUUGCGGUGUGGGAUGGGCCCGCGGCCUAUCAGCUUGUUGGUGGGGUGAUGGCCUACCAAGGCGACGACGGGUAGCCGGCCUGAGAGGGUGACCGGCCACACUGGGACUGAGAUACGGCCCAGACUCCUACGGGAGGCAGCAGGGGGGAAUAUUGCUCAAUGGGCGCAAGCCUGAUGCAGCGACGCCGCGUGAGGGAUGACGGCCUUCGGGUUGUAAACCUCUUUCAGCACCGACGAAGCGCAAGUGACGGUAGGUGCAGAAGAAGGACCGGCCAACUACGUGCCAGCAGCCGCCGUAA
rnacentral:rRNA from 1 species